rnacentral:rRNA from 1 species
UGUAUCUGAAAUCAAGCAGGACCACCCGCUGAACUUAAGCAUAUCACUAAGCGGAGGAGAAGAAAUUAACUAAGAUUGCCUCAGUAACGGCGAGUGAAGCGGCAAAAGCCCAAAAUGGAAAUCUUGUGCACUACGUGUACACGAAUUGUAAUCUAGARAUGGUCCACUCACCGGGCGGUGGCGCAGAAGUGACCACGAACGGUCCGCCAAAGAGGGUGACAGCCCCGUAUGUGGUGCCGCUGCCUAACGAGUGGGUUGUCGAAGAGUCGGGUUGUUUUGUAUUGCAGCCCUAAGUGGGAGAUAAACUUCUUCUAAGGCUAAAUAUAUAUGGGAAACCGAUAGCGAACAAGUACUGUGAAGGAAAGAUGAAAAGAACUUUGAAAAGAGAGUCAAAMGACUUGAAAUCGUUGAGAAGGAAGGGGUAGAAGYUUAUUCUUCGGCGCAGGCCGGUGUUAGUCGCCUAACAAUUGCUGGCUUCGAGCACUUAACGGGCUCUGGUUGGUACAUUGGGAAGUGGCUGGCUUGGGCUGCGUCGUGAGGCAAGAUGGGGUCGUGCGGCCACAAAGGCUACCUACGACGGGUCUCCUUCGGGAGGCAACCGUGGGGGUGCCCGGUGGAAGUACNGCCUGAGGAAGCUUCGGCGAUCUUGCCAAAAUGGCUUUUACCCACCCGUCUUGAAACACGGACCAAGGAGUCUAACAUAUAUGCGAGUGUGCUGGUGGAGAAACCAACACGCGUAAUGAAGGUGAGUGAUGCCAAGCGCAAGCAGCAGCAUCGACCGACCAUGAUCCUCUGGUGAAAGGUUUGAGUACGAGCAUACAUGUUAGGACCCGAAAGAUGGUGAACUAUGCCUGAGUAGGGUGAAGCCAGGGGAAACUCUGGUGGAGGCUCGUAGCGGUACUGACGUGCAAAUCGUUCGUCAAACUUGGGUAUAGGGGCGAAAGACUAAUCGAACCAUCUAGUAGCUGGUUCCCUCCGAAGUUUCCCUCAGGAUAGCUGGGACAAAUACGCAGUUUUAUUAGGUAAAGCGAAUGAUUAGAGGCAUCGGGGGUAAUAUGCCCUCGACCUAUUCUCAAACUUUAAAUUGGUAAGAACCCUGGCCUUUCUUAAUUGAGGCACAGGGGCUCAAUGCGUGUCCCAAGUGGGCCAUUUUUGGUAAGCAGAACUGGCGAUGAGGGAUGCUCCUAACGUCGAGUUAAGGUGCCCAACUGCACGCUCAUCAGAAACUACAAAGGGUGUUGGUUCAUCCAGACAGCAGGACGGUGGCCAUGGAAGUCGGAACCCGCUAAGGAGUGUGUAACAACUCACCUGCCGAAUGGACUAGCCCCGAAAAUGGAUGGCGCUCAAGCGUGCGACCGAUACUCGACCAUU